rnacentral:misc_RNA from 1 species
GUGAAUCAUCAAAUUUUUGAACGCAAAUUGCACUCUCCUCGGAGAGUAUGCCUGUUUGAGGGUCAGCCUAUAAAAAAUCGACAUCGUUGCUGUUUCGCGGUGGCGUUCGUCGGAAAUUGGGUCAUCUUAAAUCUUUUGUUUUAAGCGACUUAAAAUUUUCUUUUUGGUUCCAUGAACGUUUCUUAGAUUUAUUUCUUUAAACGUUUAAGGUAUUGAUUUUUAUUAGACGUGACCAACAAUUCGGAUUGCGCCCAUAA